GAUGAACGCUGACAGAAUGCUUAACACAUGCAAGUCUUUGGCGAAUCUGUGCUUGCACAGGCUAGCCAAGGCGGACGGGUGAGUAACGCGUAAAGAACUUGCCCUGCAGACAGGGAUAACAGACGGAAACGACUGAUAACACCUAAUACAGUUGCCGGCACGCAUGUGCCUGGCAAUGAAAAGAGAUGCUGCAGGAGAGCUUUGCGUCCUAUUAGCUUGUUGGUGAGGUGACGGCUCACCAAGGCGAUGAUAGGUAGCCGGCCUGAGAGGGUGAACGGCCACAAGGGGACUGAGAUACGGCCCUUACUCCUACGGGAGGCAGCAGUGGGGAAUAUUGGACAAUGGGGGCAACCCUGAUCCAGCAAUUCUGUGUGCACGAAGAAGGUUUUCGGAUUGUAAAGUGCUUUCAGCAGGGAAGAAGAAAGUGACGGUACCUGCAGAAGAAGCGACGGCUAAAUACGUG
rnacentral:rRNA from 1 species